GCUUCCUUCGGUUAACCGGAAGCAGUGCUCUUGAAUCUCGAGCAGAUAACACCAACCCUUCUAGUCCCGUUGGCUAGCCACUUCUCCUCUCUGACCGUUUGUACGGAAUGGACUGGAAUCCACCUGUAUUUCUUUCUACCUAUACGUUCUCCUGACUGAGCUUACCCAAUUCUCGAGAGCUCCGGUUGACACCUGCUUCACGCCCAAAGCCACGUCCACUACCCUCCUAAUGUUCAUUACAGCAAUUCAAGUAGACUAAGACUUCCGUUACAUGAGAAGUCUCUCCUACUUAAUGGGCCUUGAGAGUGCCUCAGUGAAAGUGAAGCCAUACCAGGCCCGGAGUAGAUUAUUUCGACACCACCACUUCCGUGCCCAGCUCUUAACUGUGGCUAAAACUCCACACCAAACCUUUCCCUAAGCGUCUUCUCGCUGAAAAUCUCGGGGAAAGAGACAUUUGGUUCCAGUAUGGAUUCUUUCACCCUCGAGAAUCACCACCGAGGAAGCAGAGUCGAAGGUACGGAAAAAUACAAACCCAUCAAGAGGGAAAAAUACAAACCCAUCAAGAGGCUACACUCGCGUGUAAGGCCAAGGGCGGACCUGAAGGUACCAGAGUGCUCGCAUUUGUCCACUGAGCAAUUAAGGCACCAGAACGCGCACUCCCGCAUGGCAACGGCUCAGCAAAAACUCGUCGCGUGACUGAGAGUUAUAUGUACGUACCGGCAUGUCUCUCCAACUGUAAGCUUCUCUGCACUCACAAUAACCUGCCCGACAGAAGAGAACUUUCGCUGCUCCGUGCUCCUGCCAAGGAAAGUCUCCAACUACUACAGUCUCUCCACCGUCUUUAACCUCUUUCCCUAUUUUGACAAUAAAAAACCUCAAAAUUCUA